ACAACAUGCCUCUCUGCCCUCUUCCCCGACGGCCUUUUCCUCGCCGCUUGCACGCCCCCUGCUGUCUGCGGCACCGUCGUUUGCCCACGCCCCAGCGAAUCCACUCUCCGCGUCAUUCGCGAAUGCAUCCACCGAUUCUAUCAGGAAAUCCAAACCCUCGAUCGCCAUGGCCAGAUUUGGGAGAAGAGAGACUCGCAUUCGUAUAUUUCCCGGUCGAGGAGUGGCUCUCUCCGCGGCGGACGUCGAGACCGUGUACCCGAUCCUCUCCAAUGUUUUGAGCCUCGAUGAGUCCGCCCUCGCCCAGAUCGAGAACCGCCCGGAAUUCUGCUCCUGCCUUCUUGAGAUCGUCACGGCGAGGGAUUCGGGUCGCCGGGAUGAUGUUCGCCUCCUGGCCUCCGUGUAUUUCUAGAACAGUAUCGGUCCGCUCCUGGAGGCCUCGCCGUGAUAUCCUGACAGCUGUCCCACUCGAAGCAUGGAACUUUCCAUGGUUUGACUGCUGUACUUGAGCGUUCUAUUGGAUUGACAAAGCUUGCAUGGGCAUUAUACUUGGCACAUUUUCUCAUACUUCUGAUAACUGGGCCCUGCUUUCUAGAAACUCAUCCUAACUGGGCCCUGUUCAUAAUCCUUCCGUGACACCAGUGUGUGCUUCUUCUGCCACCAUUCUUGACAGGGUGUUGGUGAUGAAUACCAACUAUUUUGCUCAAUUAGCAUCUGAACCAUCUCUUGCUAUGGCCCUUCAGCAGGCAGGACUUUCCAUCAGCCAGAAAGUAAUUCUUUGUUUGGCUCAUAUAUGGGUUGAUAAGGUAUUUUGUAAAGGGUGUAGCUUGUUGACUUUUCGUCCCACAUUGCUCUGGAUCCAUCCAACUUUACAGACCUUUCGAAAAUAACAAUCACUGGAAGUACUUCAAACUCGCAGCCGGAUGUCCAUCUUGAAUGAAUGAAUGUUCAACUCCAGUUCAUUUGGCUGAAGGGAAUGUGUCCCUGAGAAGCAGGUAACACUUUUAGAUACCCUGCUACAUGGUGAUUAUUCAUAUUUGCACAUUUCCGUCAGUGGCUGUGUGGAACUUGGAAUGGGAAUUCAAAGAAAUAUAACUCGUCAUGGAAAAUAAUCUUUCUUGCGUGGGUAAAUUACCAAUUGUUUUU